rnacentral:rRNA from 1 species
UGCUGGAGGUAUCAGAAGUGCGAAUGCUGACAUAAGUAACGAUAAAGCGGGUGAAAAGCCCGCUCGCCGGAAGACCAAGGGUUCCUGUCCAACGUUAAUCGGGGCAGGGUGAGUCGACCCCUAAGGCGAGGCCGAAAGGCGUAGUCGAUGGGAAACGGGUUAAUAUUCCCGUACUUGGUGUUACUGCGAAGGGGGGACGGAGAAGGCUAUGUUGGCCGGGCGACGGUUGUCCCGGUUUAAGCGUGUAGGUGUGUGUUCCAGGUAAAUCCGGUUCACUUUAACACUGAGGCGUGAYGACGAGGCACUACGGUGCUGAAGCAACAAAUGCCCUGCUUCCAGGAAAAGCCUCUAAGCAUCAGGUAACAUCAAAUCGUACCCCAAACCGACACAGGUGGUCAGGUAGAGAAUACCAAGGCGCUUGAGAGAACUCGGGUGAAGGAACUAGGCAAAAUGGUGCCGUAACUUCGGGAGAAGGCACGCUGACACGUAGGUGAAGUGAUUUACUCACGGAGCUGAAGUCAGUCGAAGAUACCAGCUGGCUGCAACUGUUUAUUAAAAACACAGCACUGUGCAAACACGAAAGUGGACGUAUACGGUGUGACGCCUGCCCGGUGCCGGAAGGUUAAUUGAUGGGGUCAGCGCAAGCGAAGCUCCUGAUCGAAGCCCCGGUAAACGGCGGCCGUAACUAUAAC